rnacentral:rRNA from 1 species
AACGAACGCUGGCGGCAUGCCUAACACAUGCAAGUCGAACGACACCUUCGGGUCUAGUGGCGCACGCGUGCGUAACGCGUGGGAACCUGCCCUUAGGCUCGGAAUUACUCCCCUAAGGGGGUGCUAAUGCCGGAUAAUUUAUUCUAACAAAAGAUUUAACGCCGUUGGAUGGGCCCGCGUUGGUUUGGCCAGUUGGUAGUGUAAAAGCCUAUCACGGCGUCGAUCCAUAGCUGGUCUGAGAGGAAGGUCAGCCACACUGGGGCUGAGAAACGGCCCAGAAUACUACGGGAGGGAGGAGUGGGGAAUAUAGGACAAUGGGGGGAAGGCUGAACGAGUAAUGGCGGGAGAGUGAUGAAGGUGGUAGGGAAGUAAAGCUGGUUUACCCGGGACGAUAAUGACAGUACCGAGAGAAUAAGCACCGGCUAACUUCGUG